rnacentral:lncRNA from 1 species
UGCAGUGAGCUCUAAACAAGUCUGAUCUUAUCUGGGAAGGCUCAGGCCCAUCUGAGAACAUACACGUGGCUUAUUGAGACCUUGGCGCUGAUCAAUAGAAAUAGUGUUCUCAACGGCUGCUGGAAGGGUCCCAGCCCUGGAGGAGACUAUCUGGUAUGCACACAGUGUGAGAAUCCGGAGGAAGGCGGAGGGCUGGGGAGCAAAGAUACUCAGGGAGCCUCCAGGCCUACUGGGGACACACCUCAGCCCACCCAGCCU